GUCUAUAGCCAUGCCACCCUGACCAAGUCCGAUCCUGUCUAAUCUCAGAAGCUCAGCAGGGUCUGGCCUGGUUAGUACUUGGAUGGGAGACCACCUAGGAAGACCAGGUGCUGUAGGUG
rfam:Pteropus alecto contig167691, whole genome shotgun sequence.